rnacentral:rRNA from 1 species
UACGUAGGGUGCGAGCGUUGUCCGGAAUUACUGGGCGUAAAGAGCUCGUAGGUGGUUUGUCGCGUUGUUCGUGAAAACUCACAGCUCAACUGUGGGCGUGCGGGCGAUACGGGCAGACUAGAGUACUGCAGGGGAGACUGGAAUUCCUGGUGUAGCGGUGGAAUGCGCAGAUAUCAGGAGGAACACCGGUGGCGAAGGCGGGUCUCUGGGCCUUACCUGACGCUGAGGAGCGAAAGCGUGGGGAGCGAACAGG